rnacentral:rRNA from 1 species
AGAGUUUGAUCCUGGCUCAGGACGAACGCUGGCGGCGUGCCUAACACAUGCAAGUCGAACGGUCUUAGAAGUUGGAGGUAAAACUUCCAACCUCCAGGCAAGUGGCGGACGGGUGAGUAACGCGUGGGCAAUCUACCCAUAAAGCGGGGAUAACACCGGGAAACCGGUGCUAAUACCCGAUAAACUCCUGAUGGGGCAUCCUAUUAGGAGGAAAGGCGGCUGAGCGAAGAAGCUGCCGAUUAUGGAAGAGCCCGCGUCCCAUUAGCUAGUUGGUAGGGUAGCGGCCUACCAAGGCGACGAUGGGUAGCCGGCCUGAGAGGGUGGUCGGCCACACUGGGACUGAGACACGGCCCAGACUCCUACGGGAGGCAGCAGUGGGGAAUAUUGCGCAAUGGGCGGAAGCCUGACGCAGCGACGCCGCGUGAGUGAAGAAGGCCUUCGGGUUGUAAAGCUCUGUUGCAGGGGAAGAACGUUAUAUAUGCGAACAGCAUAUAUAAUUGACGGUACCCCUG